rnacentral:rRNA from 1 species
UACGUAGGGUGCGAGCGUUGUCCGGAAUUAUUGGGCGUAAAGAGCUCGUAGGCGGCUUGUCGCGUCGGAUGUGAAAGCCCGGGGCUUAACUCCGGGUCUGCAUUCGAUACGGGCAGGCUAGAGUUCGGUAGGGGAGAUCGGAAUUCCUGGUGUAGCGGUGAAAUGCGCAGAUAUCAGGAGGAACACCGGUGGCGAAGGCGGAUCUCUGGGCCAUUACUGACGCUGAGGAGCGAAAGCGUGGGGAGCGAACAGG